rnacentral:rRNA from 1 species
UACGUAGGGCGCAAGCGUUGUCCGGAAUUAUUGGGCGUAAAGAGCUCGUAGGCGGUUUGUCGCGUCUGCUGUGAAAACUCGAGGCUCAACCUCGGGCUUGCAGUGGGUACGGGCAGACUAGAGUGCGGUAGGGGUGACUGGAAUUCCUGGUGUAGCGGUGGAAUGCGCAGAUAUCAGGAGGAACACCGGUGGCGAAGGCGGGUCUCUGGGCCGAUACUGACGCUGAGGCGCGAAAGCCAGGGGAGCAAACGGG